UACGAAGGGGGCUAGCGUUGCUCGGAAUCACUGGGCGUAAAGCGCACGUAGGCGGCUCUUUAAGUCAGAGGUGAAAUCCCAAGGCUCAACCUUGGAACUGCCUUUGAUACUGGGGAUCUCGAGUCCGGAAGAGGUGAGUGGAACUGCGAGUGUAGAGGUGAAAUUCGUAGAUAUUCGCAAGAACACCAGUGGCGAAGGCGGCUCACUGGCCCGAUACUGACGCUGAGGCACGAAAGCGUGGGGAGCAAACAGG
rnacentral:rRNA from 1 species